rnacentral:rRNA from 1 species
GCGAAACCUCCGCAAUGUGAGCAAUCGCGACGGGGGGAUCCCAAGUGCCAUUCUUAACGGGAUGGCUUUUCUUAAGUGUAAAGAGCUUUUGGAAUAAGAGCUGGGCAAGACCGGUGCC